GAUGAAGAACGCAGCGAAAUGCGAAAAGUAGUGUGAAUUGCAGAAUUCAGUGAAUCAUCGAAUCUUUGAACGCACAUUGCGCCCCUUAGUAUUCCAUGGGGCAUGCCUGUUCGAGCGUCAUUUGUACCUUCAAGCUCUGCUUGGUGUUGGGUGUUUGUCCCGCUUUUUGCGUGGACUCGCCUCAAAGCAAUUGGCAGCCGGCGUACUAGCCUGGGAGCGCAGCACAUUUUGCGCAUCUCGACUGGAACGCUUGCGUCCAUUAAGCCUACACUUUUGCUCUUGACCUCGGAUCAGGUAGGGAUACCCGCUGAACUUAAGCAUAUCAAUAAGCGGAGGA
rnacentral:misc_RNA from 1 species